CAAUGGGGCCAAUGGGCUGUGGGGCCAAUGGGGCCAAUGGGGUCAGUGGGUUCUGGGGUCCCUGCCUUAUGGGGUCCCUGGGUUAUGGGGCCAAUGGGGCCAAUGGGGUCUCUGGCUUAUGGGGCCAAUGGGGUCAAUGGGUUGUGGGGCCAAUGGGGCCAAUGGGGUCCCUGCCUUAUGGGGUCACCAGGUUAUGGGGUCCCCGCCUUAUGGGGCGGCCGUGUCCCCGCAGCCUGGUGUUCA
rnacentral:lncRNA from 1 species